GAUAACUGUGGUAAUUCUAGAGCUAAUACAUGCAGCAAGCCUUGACCCUCACGGGCAAGGCGCAGUUAUUAGAUCAAAAACCAAUCGGUUGUACUUUCGGGUAUAGCCGUUACUUUGGUGACUCUGAGUAACCACAGCGAACCGUAUGGCCUCGUGCUCGACGGUCUGUCAGUCAAGCAACUGCCUUAUCAGCUUGUUGUUAGGUUAUAUGCCUAACAAGGCUUCAACGGGUAACGAACGAUCGGGGUCGGAUAUCGGAGAGGGAGCUUGAGAAACGGCUACCACUUCCAAGGAAGGCAGCAGGCGCGCAAAUUACCCACUCUCGGCAUGAGGAGGUAGCAAUAAAAUGUAUCGAUGCGGGGCCUUUAGUGCCUUCGUAAUCGGAAUGAGUACACUUUAAAUCCUAUAACAAGGACCUAUUGGAGGGCAAGUCUGGUGCCAGCAGCCGCGGUAAUUCCAGCUCCAAUAGCGUAUAUUAAUGCUGCUGCGGUUAAAAAGCUCGUAGUCGGAUCUGGGUUACCGGCGGGUACCGCAUGUUGCUUCAUGCAGCAUGUUGUGUACUAUACGCGUCGCUUCGGUGGCGCUGCCAGUGUAAUGCUGUCUCAUGUAGGCACGUUAUGCUGGUCGCCGGAACCACGGGCCGGGUUGAGCAGCAUGCUCUUAACUGAGUGUGUUGUUUACUCGGUGCGUUUACUUUGAAAAAAUUGGAGUGCUCAAAGCAAGCGUACAGUCGCUAUGCGGCUUGAACAGUGGUGCAUGGAAUAAUGGAAUAGGGCCUCGGUUCUAUUUUGUUGGUUUUAAGAUAUCGAGGUAAUGAUUAAGAGGGACAGACGGGGACGUUUGUAUUGCGACGUUAGAGGUGAAAUUCUUGGAUCGUCGCAAGACACACUAAUGCGAA
rnacentral:rRNA from 1 species